rnacentral:misc_RNA from 1 species
GUAUAUGAUAUCGUUUAAUGAAAUAAACUGCCAUAGAAGAAGUUUAUUUGGAAUUAAUAAAGAUUUGUAUGUAUAAAGUAUUGACUGUAGGGACAUAUAUAUGCUGAUAUCAGUAAUAUUCCACUAAAUUUGGAUUGAUUGAAGGAAAAGGCGCGGUAAUUGAUGCGUGAGCAAUUAUUUACUCUGGUUUUAUAUCCUACUGAAGGAGCACCCAAGCGUUACUUGUUUACCUGGGGAAAUCCCAAUAUGUAUUGUGUAUUAUUUAUAAGUUUUGUUAAAUCAAUAAAAACACGGGGAAUUUAUUUUUAAAGUUAAAGGAAUUUUGCAAGAACGGUAAACAUUUUUUGUGUUGAAUGGAAAGUUUUGUAUGAAGCACAUUCGUGUUAACUUAGGCUAUAUAUCUCGAACACCAGGUAUAAUAAGCGACAUAUACCCACUUUAUGAUGUUUAUCCAAUGGUUCGUUGAGGUGGUGGCUAUAUGGCUGAUGUCAGAAGGAUGUGCACGAUGUUACGGACAAGUCAUAGACCCGUCGCUGUUUAGAAAUGUUCUGGGUGAUGUAGCAAACAAUGCACUGGGUGUGAACGAAAUACAAAAUUAUUUCAACUCUCUGACAUAUACGGACACACCUGUAGAUGGACCCAGCUUGGCAACAGAGAUUUCAUCGUCUUUAAGUAGUAAAUUUAAUGGGCCUAUACAAGCGUUAGGGAAACUUAAAUCUGCAGUGGAGCGAGAUAUUUCUUCAUUUCAAAGUGUUACAGGCCUAGAUGAGUGUUGCCAAGCGACAGGAAAUGUGUACAACGAAAGGUUCAGAAGCACGGUAAAUACCAACGACGCAUGUAUAACAAUCUCUGAAAAUUCGCCCUCCACAAUAAGAUACCCAACUCAAAGCAUAGUGGAAGUUAUGAAGGAAAACUACCGCGAUAAUCCGGAGUUAAAGUGGCAGUACUUGGGGACUGAAGAUGGAAUACUCCUUAAUUAUCCGUCAUUUAAGUUUUCAGCAUGCAGGGACUAUGAUCCAAGAUUCAGACCAUUUUACGUGAGUUCUGCAACACCAGUCCAAAAGGAUGUUGUCGUUGUAAUUGACAAAUCAGGGUCAAUGAGUGCAUUACACAACAACCAGCCUCUCAUUCAGAUUGCUAAACAAGCCGCAAUUACGGUGUUACAGACAUUAAAUCCAAAUGACAGGUUUUCUGUUGUUGCAUUUUCGAGUGGUUCAGAAGUUCUCGGUGCAGGCAUUCGAGACUGCAUUUCUUCUUACGAGUUAUCCGAAGCCACGCCCCUCAACAUAAAAUUCAUUGAAGAAAGAAUAAAUAAAGUGUCGGUCAGCGGAAUGACAAACUAUGAGUCUGCAUUAGACACAGCCUUCAAAUUCUUCGAAUCUUCGGCAAAAAAUAUAAGUGGAGAGUUCAGAGCAGAACGAGUGAUAAUGUUUUUAACGGAUGGCGAGAAAACCGCUGGUGGAGAUCCUUUGUCUCUGAUUGCUAAUAGAAACGGAAACAUUGGAAACGAAGUUGUAAUACUCACAUACGGACUUGGAGCUUCACUUCCCGAAGCAGCACAGACUAUGUUAGCUCAAAUGGCGAAUCAGGCCAAAAGUAAUUCUAGCAAAGGUGAAAUACAGCGAGGUAUAUUUGAACAUAUCGAAGAUCCAUCCAAGCUUCGAUCAUCCAUGGCGUCAUAUUAUAACAAAUUUAGCAAGGACAACACACAACAGGAGGCUACAUUCACUGUUCCAUACUACGAUCUCUUUGGUUUAGGUCUACUGACGUCGCUCUGUCUGCCUGUUUACAAACCAGAUACUUCUUUGUUCGGAGUUGUGUGCUCUGAUCUGACAAUGUCAAAUCUCGUGUCAGAUAUCACCUACUUCCGGCAAGGAGAAAACUCGUAUUCUUUUAUUAUUGACGGUAGAGGGCGUACUCUAAUGCAUCCUCUACUACCUUUGCCAUCUCAGGCAAGCGAUGAUCCAAUUUACGUUGACAUUCAACAUCUAGAGAGACAAAGUGCAGCAAUGGAAGUUAUUAUGUCCAUGAAAAGUGGAAUUAGUGGUAGUAAAAAGUUUGUUUCAACAAGAACAAUUUCACGAGGAGAUAUUUACUACGAGGGCAUAGAAACAAGAGCCGUUGAGUCGACUUACUCCUGGACACCGGUGCCUAAAAGCAAUUUCUCGCUGUGUAUCGUUGUUGCAUCGGGAGACGUUCAAUCUACUAUAGACGCCUUGCAACCUAAAACAGAUACUUUUUUCUAUCAUAGGAUGGACCUCGCAGAUAGCCUACAUUCAAGUUGCAACCAUUUUAACAGAUAUGCUACAAGUGACAAAUCUGCUGUAAUGAUAACCGCAGGAGGGUUUAUAAACCCAUCGCUCUAUUUAGAAACGGAAGAAACAGACCACGAAGCGGAAAAAUAUACAAACUUUAUCACAGGAAAAACAGGUCAAAACCCUGGAUUUAAGCCUUCAAUUAUAAACUCUGUGACAGCAUCUUACAAAGCUGAGGAAAUAUGGAGAAAUAAUCCAGAAGCUGGAAAAAUGGUGAUAUGGCGGUAUAUAGGAACUACAGAUGGUGUAAUGCGCAUGUACCCAGCCGUACAACUUCCUAAAAACUACGAUCAUACCAGGCGUCCUUGGUAUGAAAGAUCUAUCGCUAACAAAGGAAAACUGGUACUUUCCGCACCGUAUGAGGAUCAAUGGGGUUCAGGAUUUCUAAUUACUUUAUCAACGGCUAUAACAGAACCUGGGUCGUCAAAAAGAACGUUUGCUAUUACUGGUACGGACUUUACCAUAACGUACUUAUACAACACUCUGAUUACAAAGUACGAAAAAUGUGACAGCGGUGAAUACGAAUGCUUCCUUAUAGACGACAGUGGUUUUGUCAUUUUGCACCGUGACUUCGUUGAGACAACAACAAAGAGACCAAAUCUAGAAAACGUUCAUCUUACAUUUAAGGAACCUGCAAUUGCAGAUGAUUUAGUAAACAACAAUAUCAUGGCAAAGGCGCAUUGCAUUGAUUUUGAAAAUAUUAAAGAACAGUAUAGUUACAGGGUGAACUACUGCAUCAUCUGGUCGGGACAGAUUUUCGUCUUAUGCCAAGUAUGAAAUCAGACCUGUCCAAGACACAAAUGUCUUCAUUAUCAUACAGCAGAAACUUUAUAUACCAGGAAAAACAAUUUGUUGCCAACGAUGCAGGACCUACAUGUUCACCUCGCACCCCAACUUUAGAAACAAAAAGUAUUUCUGAAGUUGACAAGAUAAAGGGUCUCUCAAGAUGCUUCGUAACAAACUGUGGACAGCAGACGACCAAGAG